rnacentral:rRNA from 1 species
CAGUCGCCGCGGGAAUGCGAAGGGGGCUAGCGUUGCUCGGAAUGACUGGGCGUAAAGGGCGCGUAGGCGGCGGCCAAAGUCAGGCGUGAAAUUCCCGGGCUCAACCUGGGGGCUGCGUUUGAUACUUGGUUGCUUGAGUGGGGAAGAGGGUCGUGGAAUUCCCAGUGUAGAGGUGAAAUUCGUAGAUAUUGGGAAGAACACCGGUGGCGAAGGCGGCGACCUGGUCCUUUACUGACGCUGAGGCGCGAAAGCGUGGGGAGCAAACAGGAUUAGAUACCCGCGUAGUCCCUGUCUCUUAUAC